GAGUUUGAUCGUGGCUCAGAUUGAACGCUGGCGGCAUGCCUUACACAUGCAAGUCGAACGGCAGCAUGAUCUAGCUUGCUAGAUUGAUGGCGAGUGGCGAACGGGUGAGUAAUACAUCGGAACGUGCCCUGUAGUGGGGAUAACUAGUCGAAAGAUUAGCUAAUACCGCAUACGACCUGAGGGUGAAAGUGGGGGACCGCAAGGCCUCAUGCUAUAGGAGCGGCCGAUGUCUGAUUAGCUAGUUGGUGGGGUAAAGGCCCGACCAAGGCGACCGAU
rnacentral:rRNA from 1 species